UUCGUCGUUGAUGUUGUCUCAUUGAUGGUGUGAUAAUUACUUCUUAUUCUACAUACAGUUUGUCAUAUUAAAUUACAAGCACAUUCAGACCAAACAAGCUAAUUAUGUGAAUGUUUGUUUUUUUUGUCAUUAAGAUACCAUGAUAAUGUCCCAAUAUAAAUUAAAUAACAUAUAUAACCUUGUUCAUUCUUGUAUACAUGUAUAAAUAUAUAGGAUCAUUUGACUGAUGUUAAAUGUCUUUUGUUCAAGGACAAGGAAAUACAGCUUCCUUUUGUUGUUGAUAUUGUUUAUUAUAUCCUGUUUUGAGAACAUUAUCAGAUGACUUGUGAGUUUCUUGUAAGUUCAU
rnacentral:lncRNA from 1 species